UGGGGAAUAUUGGACAAUGGGCGCAAGCCUGAUCCAGCCAUGCCGCGUGAGUGAUGAAGGCCCUAGGGUUGUAAAGCUCUUUUACCCGGGAAGAUAAUGACUGUACCGGGAGAAUAAGCCCCGGCUAACUUCGUGCCAGCAGCCGCGGUAAUACGAAGGGGGCUAGCGUUGUUCGGAAUCACUGGGCGUAAAGCGCACGUAGGCGGAUUUUUAAGUCAGGGGUGAAAUCCCGGGGCUCAACCUCGGAACUGCCUUUGAUACUGGAGAUCUUGAGUCCGGAAGAGGUAAGUGGAACUGCGAGUGUAGAGGUGAAAUUCGUAGAUAUUCGCAAGAACACCAGUGGCGAAGGCGGCUUACUGGUCCGGAACUGACGCUGAGGUGCGAAAGCGUGGGGAGCAAACAG
rnacentral:rRNA from 1 species